rnacentral:rRNA from 1 species
GAUGAACGCUGGCGGCGUGCCUAAUACAUGCAAGUCGAGCGAACAGACGAUGAGCUUGCUCCUCUGACGUUAGCGGCGGACGGGUGAGUAACACGUGGAUAACCUACUUAUAAUACUGGGAUAAUUUCGGGAAACCGGAGCUAAUCCCGGAGAAUAUAUUGAACCGCAGGGUUCAAUGGUGAAAGACGGCUUUGCGGUCUCUUUUAGAUGAUUCCGCGCCGCAUUGGCUAGUUGGUAAGGUAACGGCUUAACAAGGGAACGAUGCGUAGCCGACCGGAGAGGGUGAUCGGCCACACUGGAACUGAACCACGGUCCAGACUCCUAAGGGAGGGAGCAGUAGGGAAUCUUCCGCAAUGGGGGAAAGCCUGACGGAGCAACGCCGCGUGAGUUGUAGAGGUCUUGGGAUCGGAAAACUCUGUUAGUAGGGAAGAACAAAUGUGUAAGUAACUAUGCACGGCUUGACGGUACCUAAUAAGAAAGCCACGGCUAACUACGUG